rnacentral:rRNA from 1 species
GAGCCCGCACAAGCAGUGGAGUAUGUGGUUUAAUUCGACGCAACGCGAAGAACCUUACCAGGGCUUGACAUCCACGGAAGACUGGGUAAAGCCGGUUGUGCCCCUUCGGGGGAACCGUGAGACAGGUGGUGCAUGGUUGUCGUCAGCUCGUGUCGUGAGAUGUUGGGUUAAGUCCCGCAACGAGCGCAACCCUUACGGUUAGUUGCUACGAAAGAGCACUCUAACAGGACUGCCGUUGACAAAACGGAGGAAGGUGGGGAUGACGUCAAAUCAUCAUGCCCUUUACGCUCUGGGCUACACACGUACUACAAUGGCGCAAACAAGGGGGAGCGAGGCGGCGACGCUGAGCAAAUCCCAAAAAGGCGCCCCAGUUCAGAUUGCAGGCUGCAACUCGCCUGCAUGAAGUUGGAAUUGCUAGUAAUCGUAAAUCAGCAUGUUACGGUGAAUACGUUCCCGGGCUUU